CCCUAACCCUCUCUGCUCCAGGGGUGCUGUAUCAUGGCUGACCCUGCACUCUGACCCCAACUUCCUGACAGACUGGGGUAAGAAAAGAAUCUCGCAUAUUAUAUAUAUAUGUGUGUGUGAUCAAUGAGAGAUAGCUUGAUUUCUCUUUAACAUGAUAAGCGGUAUUUAUAGCUGCUAUAACGUAAGUGCACACUAUAGGGGAUAAUAAUUUAUAAUAAUCUAGAGAAACCAACGAUUGGCAAAAUUGGUGUCCGUUUGUAUUUGUAUAUUAAUGCUUGGCCCCCUGAUAAUCACUAUGUACGUCGACAAAUUUACAGAGAAGCAGUAUUUGGCUAAAAUAAACACAAUAUUUUGACAACCAAGUAUAUUAUAAUGACCACCUUACUAUUAUAAAUGUUUCCAGCAGCCACUUAUUUACUGCUUUAAAAGGAACGUAAUUACCGCAGAUUUUAUUGGCUUCACUUAGUGAGGUCUACUGUUAUAUUGACUCGGCCUUCCAGAAACCAUCUAAAAAACUUCACGUAAUGGAACGGAUCUGAAGUUUACGGCAGGUUGCCAAGGAGAAAUGGUAAGGGCAAGACAUCAAGGAGGUGGGGGAGAAAGAAAAAAAAAGAAAAAAAAACACGGAUACUGAAGCACGGCCUUUGCUUCCACUACAGAACGCAGACAAAAUCAUGGCGCGUCAACACAGAGUCCUCAAGUUAGCACUCUUCACUAACGAUGACUUAAUUCACGGCUGAAUGAAAUUACCACGCUAUAAUAAACGGGGGAAAAAAUCUCUUCGCCUGCCACGCUCAUGCUUCCCAGUGAGGGACUCGAACAUUCUUUGCGUUUCAGAUGAACAAGCCUGAAUGGUUGGACAUGAUUGGGUACAGAACUCGAGCUGAGAGCAAGAUACACAGGGGAGAAGUGGAAAGAUGAAUUCAUCACCUGCUCUUACCGGUCCAUGCUGGGAGAGAGUGUGCAUGAAAUUAAUCGGGGCAAUAUCUUCCAGCCACAACAUGUUUGCUCAACAAAACAAAUCCAAAGGCGCAAUAAUCACCUUGUAAUCAAGCCCUGAUCGGGGCCGGCCAAGGUUGAGAGUGAAACAGUGGCGUGGAAACGGGGUUAGGUUACAGUUAGGUUUGCCUGUGUAAGCCGUGCAAAACAAAAUAAACGCAAGAUGAUGAUCAGCAUCUACGCGGGGGGGGUAAGAAGAAAAAAAAAAAAAAGAAGUCCACGUGUUCGCACGCAAACGAAUGCUUUUGACCUAAAGGCGUAGAGACAGAAUAAAGUUACUUUAUUAAAGUCUUCUUAAGGCGCUUUCACAUACGCUGUUCCAUUUGCUGAGUACGAAUCGGAGUACUCCGGUUUCCUCCCCCAGUCCAAAGACAUGCACGGUAGGCUGAUUGGCGAGUCUAAAGUGUCCGUAGUGUAUGAAUGGGUGUGUGAUUGUAUCCUGUGAUGGAUUGGCACCCCGUCCAGGGUGUACCCCGCCUUGUGCCCCAUGCUCCCUGGGAUAGUCUCCAGGUUUCCCCGUGACCCUGAAAAGGAUAAAGCGGUAGAAGACGGAUGGAUGGAUGGAACCGGAGUACGAAAGCUGAUUUUUUUUUGCUAUGGCUCAUCUGCUUUUUUGGUCUGGUUAUAUUUCACACUACUCAGAAUCAAAAGACGUUGGCUUUAGCCGGCUUUAGCCGACGGGACGCAGGGCUGAAAACAUACUUUUCGAAACACUUUAUAUGCUGACGCAAGAAGUAAACAAACCUUUAACAAGUGUGUGUAGAAAUCACUCAAUAAAUGAUUAGAUAAUUACCAGAGAUGCACCGGCGUAUCGGACGAUAAAGGCAAUUUUUCACACUGAUAGUUUAAAAACAUCUGACGAUCAGGGACGAUUAUAUCCUGUCAAUCAAAAGAGGGCGGGAAAACACACGGAUUUCGUACUGCGUGUAAAGACGAUGUCUCUUGUGUGGAACGACGACAAAACUGCAGUUUGUAAUCUCUAAUCUCUGCACUGAUAAAAAUUUCUACCGGAAGUGAGCAGCAGUGAAGCGGGAGUUUCGGCAUCGAGGCUAUUUUUUUUUAUUAUUUAUUGCCGCGCUACUCGAGCUGAAUUAAAGCGCCAGUACACCGCUGAAAGAUGAACACCGCUAAAAGAUUUCAAUGAAAAUGAGUUAACAAAAAAAGUAUAACAAUCGUGUUUCUGCAGCGCUAAAGCUCUGAUCUUUGGCCCAGUUUGCGCCGCACGGCUCGAUUUAUCGGCUUGCGUUUACAUAUAAAUGCUGCCUGCAACCCAAAAUACGCGGCGUGUGUGUUUGACUCCCUGCGUUUGAUUCCGAUUCCACCAUGAUCACCUCGCUCAGACACUCGGUGGGUUUGUGAUCGCCGUGUUGAACGCCUGCCAAAAGAACCAGGCAACAUUUUUCUAAUAUGCAACUGUCCAGUUUCAGCGAGCCUGUCAGCCAUAGUGGCAGAUUCUUGUUCUUAGCCGUCAGGAGUGGAACCCCAUGUGGUCUUCUUCUGUUCUAGUCAAUCUGCAUCAAGGUUCAACGUGUUGUGCGUUCUGAGAUGCUGUCCGGCUCACCAUGGUUGCAAAGAGCAGUUAUUUGAGAUAGCGUAGCCUUCCUGUAAGCUCAAACCUCUCUCAUUAACUAGGCACUGCCCACGUAGACAUCACUCAGUGUCGGUUUUUUAAUUUUUCACAACAUUGUGUGUGAACUCUAGAGACUGUUGUCGGUGUGAAAAGCCCAGGAGAUUUGCGGUUUUUUCAAAUACCCUAACCAGACCAUCUGGUCACUGAGAUAACUAUUUAUUUAUUUUUGCAAACAUUAACUGAAGCUCCUUGACCUAACUGACCUACUUUCUAGAUUGUUGUCUCUCCUUACCUUGUGAUGUCACUUACACAGUUAUUCUUUGCAAAUCCCCUUGCAACUCACACUAACUGGAUAUAUUUGGCAUCGUAAAUCAGUUCAGCCCAUUAUUUAAGUCAAAAUCGCAUUCUCGUCAAAUACUGACAGGGCCAAAAUCCUCCUUGCUCGUUUAGAACCAUGUGUAUUGAAAUCAGGAUCAAAACUUUAGAAGGUCCACAAUGCGUAAACACGUUACAGUUAAUAUAUCCCAAUUCUGAACGUGUACUACAUCGAUUGCUUCUGGUUCCGUUUUCUUUUUUUUUUUUUUACAAAUCUGUUAUUGUAUCUCAUGUAAUUUUCCAGAGCAAAAAAUAUUGUUUUAGAAGACAGCCUGUUGAUUCGCUAUAAAGACAACAGGACUAAGGAAUUUACAUUCACGACAUUCGGCAGACGCGCUCAUCCGGCGCGAUGUACAGUGCACGUAUCUCAUUCGUACAUCUGAGCAGUUGAGGGUUAAGGGCCUCGCUCAAGGGCCCAACAGUGGGGCCCAACUCACGAAUUUCUGAGCAGUAGACCGACGUCUUAGAGCUGAGAGCUUUUUCAGAAGUUAAACAAAGCAACACAGAUAGAAAUGACUGUUUAAUAUAUAGCCUAUAAUUGUUGUGGAGUGGGGGGGG
ensembl:lncRNA